rnacentral:rRNA from 1 species
AACGAACGCUGGCGGCAUGCCUAACACAUGCAAGUCGAACGAGACCUUCGGGUCUAGUGGCGCACGGGUGCGUAACGCGUGGGAACCUGCCCUUAGGUUCGGAAUAACUCCCCGAAAGGGGUGCUAAUACCGGAUAAUGUCUUCGGACCAAAGAUUUAUCGCCUUUGGAUGGGCCCGCGUUGGAUUAGCUAGUUGGUAGGGUAAAAGCCUACCAAGGCGACGAUCCAUAGCUGGUCUGAGAGGAUGAUCAGCCACACUGGGACUGAGACACGGCCCAGACUCCUACGGGAGGAAGCAGUGGGAAUAAUUGGACAUUGGGCGAAGGCCUGACCCAGCAUUGCCGCGUGAGUGAUGAAGGCCUUGGGGUUGUAAAGCUCUUUUACCCGGGAUGAUAAUGACAGGACCGGGAGAAUAAGCUCCGGCUACUCCGUG